rnacentral:RNase_P_RNA from 1 species
UCAGUCGGCCGGACGGCCGCUCCGGCGAUCACCGAAAGGUGGCUGGAGAGGAAAGUCCGGGCUCCAUCGACAUACGGUGCCGGAUAACGUCCGGCGGGGGCAACCCCAGGGAAAGUGCCACAGAGAACGAACCGCUUCCCUACCCGAAAGGGAGGGGCAGCAAGGGUGAAAAGGUGCGGUAAGAGCGCACCGCGGGUCCGGCAACGGAACCGGCAUGGCAAACCACACCGGGAGCAAGACCGAAUAGGGACGGCCACGCGGACAGUUCGCUGAAGGGCGAUAACGCCGCGGGAGCGAUGUCGGGCUCGCCGUCCGGGUAGGUUGCUCGAGGCAAUGUGCAAACAUUGCCCCAGAGGAAUGGCCGUCACGUACCAUUCGCGAAAGCGGGUGGUGCCCUACAGAACCCGGCUUACAGGCCGGCUGAUGUC